GGCAGUUCUUGGGCGCCACACCCUGGUAUAGGGUUCCCUCCUCUCUGGUUCCGGGGUGCAUCACCUGAGAACCCCC
rfam:Myotis brandtii contig265345, whole genome shotgun sequence.